rnacentral:rRNA from 1 species
CGCGUAGGCGGUUUGGUAAGUCAGAUGUGAAAUCCCCGGGCUUAACUCGGGAAUUGCAUCUGAAACUGCUUUUCUUGAGUCCUGGAGGGGGUAGUGGAAUUCCCAGUGUAGCGGUGAAAUGCGUAGAUAUUGGGAGGAACACCUGUGGCGAAGGCGGCUACCUGGACAGUGACUGACGCUGAGGCGCGAAAGCUAGGGGAGCGAACGG